UCUAAACGGAUUUUGCAAUUUUGUAGUAUACCAAUACAAUGACAGUCAGAGAUUUUAUGCUAAAUGGGCAUGUGAAGCUUGGAUGUGUAUCUUCAAACUAAGUCCACGUUUGAAAUAUGCUGAAUAGCGAAAUUGUUUGGAAAUAUUUCUCUGGCAGAAAUGAGUCUAAACUGUGGAUAACAAUCUCUCUGUAUCUCCAUAAGAGAAGAGUGUAUUGAUUGAAGGAUCAAUGUUAAAGGAUACCACUACAAUGAAAACAGCUUUGAGUUGUGUCUUUUGAAAAUGACUGCUUGAUGAUAAAGUUUCGAACAACUGUGAAGUGAACGGGUGUUCUAGAAAGUGACAGCUACAUGGUAAAAGUAAGUGCAGUCAGAGGACCUCUGAUAUCACCUGAACAGCCAGCCUUCUCAAGAUUCUGUAGCAAAUGAAAAUAACAAGGACUGCUAAAAAGAAUUUCUAAAACUUGCAUAUGUGCAGUCUGUGACUUAACUGUCUGAUCUAGGUAGUUAAGUGUUGAAAAGAUGGCAUUUCAUCUCUAAACUAGAUGACACAAGUUGGAAAUGCAGUAUGUCAUUGUGAAGGCAAACUGUUUAAGAAAAGAGUGUUUUAGAAAGACUGAAAGUGGGACAUCAUCACCCAGUGAUUUUUUAAUAAGUCAUGGACAUCCGAAAAGUGAAGAUCUGUCCAUUUUUGGUUUACCACAGAUCAAAAGAAUGACUGGUGUCUUUGACAUAGACAGGAGAACUCACACUGGACACUAUUUUGUUUGCAUUAAUGUUUCUUUUUCAGAUUUAUGAAAAAAUCUUAAAGAUGUUGAUAAAAAUAGACUAACUUUUGACUUUAAAAUGUUUAAAAAUCUGAUAUUUGAUAAAAUUUAAUGUAUUUUGAAAAAGAUGCACAUGAACCUAUUUAAAUGGAAUAGACACAUGUCAGUCUUUGAAUUUUUGUAAAAAAGCACAUGUUUUGCAGCUCUCAUUAGAUUUGGUUACCGGUUUACAGCAUAAUGAAGGCUUAUUACUCACAAAGAUAUGCAGAUCUAAUUAUAUAUUUCCUACCAUAGAUAAUUUUAUUUUACAUGGACUUUUUAAAUAUGUAACUUUAGCGGUUUAGCCUCCUGGCGGCAAGCAAGUGAUUCUGCAUUUGCGACCAGUGCAGACCAAGAUCAGCCUGCACAUCCAUGCAGCCUGAUCAUGGUCUGCACUGUUCGCUAUACAGUCAGUAAAUUUUCAGUGAAACCCCCUUUGAAUGAUCAGUAAUACGAUCAAAAUUGAAUAAUUGGCCAGUCCAUUUUAAAAAUUUAGAAGGGUAAAGGUUAAAAAAUACUGCGAAAAUAUAGCAAAAUAUUGAAUGUAUUACAUGUAGUGUACUUGAUUUUGUGAGACUGUUGAAAUAUUACGAUCCUUUUUUCACUGUUAAGAUUGUAUCAUAAAAUAUAUUUUCUGAUAAAAUUUAUUUUUUAAAAAAGUCUGCAAUAUAGAUUUUAAUGAACAUUCAUACAUUUGUAAAGUUACCUAUAUUGUGUUAGGUAUUUACUUUAGCCCAUAUAUACACGCUGGUCAAUGAUUAAAGAGAACAUCCGAGUUCCUAGCUGACUUUUUGACUAAUUUAAUACCUCAUUCAUGUAAUAACUUCGAUUAAUCUUCAGAAAUUCAGUAAGAUUGUCAUCAGUAAAACAGGUUUCAUUCUAAGAUAUACAAGGCAUGUGAAAUCCUAUUUUAACAGCAUAUACUUUAAUAAAUAAAGUAGAUUCAUUUGUGUACUUUUGAUAAAUUUUGGAAAGAAUUAGGAGUUAUAUCUGAAACUGCAGUUUGUAUUUACUUAGUAGUUAAUGACACUGGAAUGUGCAUGAUCAGGUUUUUUUUUUCUGAAUAAGUCUUAAGUCUAUAUUAUAUAUAGCUAUCCUUAAAAAGUCUGGUCAUUGCCUUGAUACUUUGAAAGAAUAAUAUACAUUUAAAGUUUAUCUAGCAAAAUAUUGACUUAACUGUUCUUUAGAUCAUUAGAUUUAAUUCCAUUGUUAAAGGAAUAAUGUGUUGUUGGUCCAGAAAUAUCAUAUUUUAAAAUAUUCAUCAAAAACUCUGCUGAUUGGAACUGUCUGGGUUAUUUGUAUUUCAAAUCCCAAUAAUUGAGCAUUUUAAUUUUGUUGUAUGCUUAAGUUAAUGUAAAUUAAAAACAGAAACGUUCAUUUACCAUAGAAAGUACUUAAACCUAAUAAACUUUUCUAGUCUGAUAUUACAUGAACAUACACCUUGCACGGUAUUCAAACCUCCAAACUUGAAGUCUUGUGAUUAUGGUGCAUAAAUUGCUUUUGUCAUAGUUGCAAGAGCAGCCAUAUUCAGCUGCUAUAUAUUUUUAAAUAUCAUGAUAUUUUUCAGUCUUGGAUAAACGUUGUUAUUUGUUCAUAAUUUUGAAUUAUAUUUGAAAUGUACAUAUUAAAUCAAAUGGCGAAAUAUACGUGAUUUUGCUUUUACAGCCAUUUGUUUUCAUUGCAGCAAAGUCAUUUCCAAAGGUGAAAGGCCAC
rnacentral:lncRNA from 1 species